rnacentral:lncRNA from 1 species
UUCUAUCCAAUUUUUAUGUUCAAUUACUUACGUGACACAUAUAUAGACCCCACAUAUCCAAUGAGAUAACGACACAUGGAUUUAAAUGAAAUAUAAUAUAUAUUUUAAAUAUUUUAAUACUUAAAAUCUAUAAAUAAAUAAAAACAAAAAUAAGUUUUAAUAAACAAAUUAAAACUUAAAAAACAAAAACAAAAAGAAACAUGCAGCCAUCCACCCCAUCCCCUCCCCUCCAUCUCCUCCUUUUCCUCUCCCCUCUCCCCUCUCCUC